AGAGUUUGAUCAUGGCUCAGGACGAACGCUGGCGGCGUGCUUAAUACAUGCAAGUCGAGCGAGGUUACUGUUUUGGAUCCCUUCGGGGUGAAGAAGCUUUAACCUAGCGGCGGACGGGUGAGUAACGCGUGGGUAACCUACCCCAAAGUCCGGGAUAACAGCGGGAAACCGCUGCUAAUACCGGAUGCCUUUACCUUGGGGCAUCUUGAGGUAAAGAAAGGCAACGCUUUGGGAUGGGCCCGCGUCCCAUUAGCUAGUUGGUGAGGUAACGGCUCACCAAGGCGACGAUGGGUAGCCGGCCUGAGAGGGUGGACGGCCACACUGGGACUGAGACACGGCCCAGACUCCUACGGGAGGCAGCAGUAGGGAAUAUUGCGCAAUGGACGGAAGUCUGACGCAGCGACGCCGCGUGAGCGAUGAAGGUCUUCGGAUCGUAAAGCUCUGUCCUUGGGGAAGAAGGCGAAAGCUUGACGGUACCCAAGAAGAAAGCCCCGGCUAACUACGUGCCAGCAGCCGCGGUAAUACGUAGGGGGCGAGCGUUGUCCGGAAUUACUGGGCGUAAAGGGUGCGUAGGCGGCCCUUUAAGUCGGAUGUGAAAGCCCGCGGCUUAACCGCGGAAUGGCAUUCGAAACUGGAGGGCUUGAGUGUCGGAGAGGGUAGUGGAAUUCCCAGUGUAGCGGUGAAAUGCGUAGAUAUUGGGAGGAACACCAGUGGCGAAGGCGACUACCUGGACGAUAACUGACGCUGAGGCACGAAAGCUAGGGGAGCAAACAGGAUUAGAUACCCUGGUAGUCCUAGCCGUAAACGAUGGGUACUAGGUGUGGGUGGUUUCGAUACCAUCCGUGCCGUAGUUAACGCAUUAAGUACCCCGCCUGGGGAGUACGUGCGCAAGCAUGAAACUCAAAUGAAUUGACGG
rnacentral:rRNA from 1 species